UCACCCAGUUAGUGUAUGGCCUAUUUCU
rnacentral:piRNA from 1 species